AAGCCAGCCAGCCAUGUGAAGUCUCUGGCGGGUUGGCCAGGCUGCUUCCGCAGGCCGGCAGUUGAGGCUGCUGAGCUGGGGCUGAAGUUGAGCGCAGAUUUAGUGUGCUGAGCACUGGGAAGGACCACUAGCCGACGUAGAGGAGUGGAGGGCCUGCCCAGCAGUUGAGCCAAAAAGAUAAGUUAAAAUUGAACAACUGUGUGCAUCUGUGCUUUUCAUCCACAGAUCCCAAUAUUCUCUGGGUGGGGUCUGAGAGCAUGGCCCAUUCCUGGAGUUUAGGAGGGGCAGCAAAAGGUACUCACUACAUGGGAGCAUGCGCAAGUGGUGUGUGCCUGGUGUGGACUAAGAAACUGUCCACACUCUGACCAGACGGCUCCUACCACACAGAGAGUCAUCAACUUGUCCCAGAGUCUCUUCUGUGUACUCUAGGACAAUGUCACUCAAUGGCUCAGGUUCACAGGGCCCUUCUCUAACAUUGUGAAGGACCCCGCAUAGUAUGGGCAAACCAUUGUCUAGGGUCUCAUGUAGCCUUGACUGUUCAACCGUGUGACCAGGGAAUAUCUUAAAUUCUGAUCUUUCUGCCUCUGCCUCCCAGGGCUUGUGAUGACAGGCAAGCACAUGCCUGGUUCAUGGUGCUGGGCACAGAGCCCAGGGCUUCCUAUGCUCAAGGCAGGCAUUCCAACUACUAAGUACACAACUCCCUCCUAGGAGGCCUCUGCCUCUUGGCUGGUUUGGCGUGCCCGUGGGUAUGCUUGGUGACUGAGCAGGGUACACUUGUUCUAGGAGAAGAAAAACUCAUGUUGAGUAAAGACAGCCUGUCUUCUGCAGAUGUCUGCUGUCAUCAGUUUUAGUGUGUGAGUGACUAUACAUGUGAAGGCAAAAGGACAAUUUCCAGGAGUCCUUCCACUGCUUGCAUCCCCAGGGUUGAAUUCAGCCUCAGGCUUACCAGCAAGCACCUUUACCUACUGGGCCCUCUCGCUGAGCCCUGAAUAAGGUUUUGUCUAAAGGAGUGAAAGAACUCUAGCUGGUACCAGAGACUCUGUGUUUUUUUCUUUUUCUUUCUUUUUUAAUGUUAAUAAAAUAUUUU
rnacentral:lncRNA from 1 species